UACGGGGGGGGCAAGCGUUGUUCGGAAUUACUGGGCGUAAAGGGCGCGUAGGCGGCCUGUUAAGUCGGACGUGAAAUCCCUCGGCUCAACCGAGGAACUGCGUCCGAUACUGGUGGGCUUGAAUCCGGGAGAGGGAUGUGGAAUUCCAGGUGUAGCGGUGAAAUGCGUAGAUAUCUGGAGGAACACCGGUGGCGAAGGCGGCAUCCUGGACCGGUAUUGACGCUGAGGCGCGAAAGCUAGGGUAGCAAACGGG
rnacentral:rRNA from 1 species